rnacentral:rRNA from 1 species
GAUGAACGCUGACAGAAUGCUUAACACAUGCAAGUCUUUGGCGAAGCUGUGCUUGCACAGCCUAGCCAAGGCGGACGGGUGAGUAACGCGUAAGGGACUUGCCCUGCAGUCAGGGAUAACAGACGGAAACGACUGAUAAAACCUGGUAAAGUCAGGCGGACUCAUGUCCAGCCUGAUGAAAAGGAAUGCUGCAGGAGAGCCUUGCGUCCUAUUAGCUCGUUGGUGGGGUAACGGCCCACCAAGGCGAUGAUAGGUAGCCGGCCUGAGAGGGUGGACGGCCACAAGGGGACUGAGAUACGGCCCUUACUCCUACGGGAGGCAGCAGUGGGGAAUAUUGGACAAUGGGGGCAACCCUGAUCCAGCAAUUCUGUGUGCACGAUGAAGGUCUUCGGAUUGUAAAGUGCUUUCAGCAGGGAAGAAAAAAAUGACGGACCUGCAGAAGAGCGCGCA